rnacentral:tRNA from 1 species
GCCGCAGUAGUAUAGCCCGGUCAAGUAUGCGGGCCUUUCGAGCCCGUGACCCGGGUUCAAAUCCCGGCUGCGGCACCA